rnacentral:rRNA from 18 species
ACGGGUGAGUAACGCGUGGGAACAUACCUCUUGGUUCGGAACAACACAGGGAAACUUGUGCUAAUACCGGAUAAGCCCUUACGGGGAAAGAUUUAUCGCCGAGAGAUUGGCCCGCGUCUGAUUAGCUAGUUGGUGGGGUAAAGGCCUACCAAGGCGACGAUCAGUAGCUGGUCUGAGAGGAUGAUCAGCCACAUUGGGACUGAGACACGGCCCAAACUCCUACGGGAGGCAGCAGUGGGGAAUAUUGGACAAUGGGCGCAAGCCUGAUCCAGCCAUGCCGCGUGAGUGAUGAAGGCCCUAGGGUUGUAAAGCUCUUUUGUACGGGAAGAUAAUGACGGUACCGUAAGAAUAAGCCCCGGCUAACUUCGUGCCAGCAGCCGCGGUAAUACGAAGGGGGCUAGCGUUGCUCGGAAUCACUGGGCGUAAAGGGUGCGUAGGCGGGUUUUUAAGUCAGAGGUGAAAUCCUGGAGCUCAACUCCAGAACUGCCUUUGAUACUGAAAGUCUUGAGUAUGGGAGAGGUGAGUGGAACUGCGAGUGUAGAGGUGAAAUUCGUAGA